AGAAUAAAAAUUCAUGAAUGUUGCGUAUCUAUGAAAAUUUGAGUAAACCUGACAAAUAAUUAGGAAAUUAUUGAAAUCUUUAAGAAUUAUUAUAUUACUGGAAACAAUAUCUAGUACACGUAUUGUAUUUAUUAUUGCACAUAUUAUAUUCCGUACAUAGUUUCGUUCGAAUAGAAUAGAAUGCACUUUACCAGUCGAUCGUUAAUUUUGAUCUGAUCGAAACAUUAAAAUUGUUCUAUUUCGAAACUCGCAUUAGUAUGUAAAUGAGGAAUAAUUAUAGGAGUUGGCAGUAAAGCGAGUAAACAGACACGGUCUCCAGUCAUGCUCGACUCUCGUAACUGCUCGUAGCACACGCUCGAGCGUUGGGAAUGCGGAACCGCAUCCGCUUGGGGCUUAUGUUAGACAGUUCAUAUACGGAAGUGUCAAUCGAAUCUGUAGACACGGUCGCCUUGACCGCGGCUGACGUCGCAGUUCAAUGCCGGUGUAACGCGACUUUUUUAUUAUUAUUAUUAAUAUUGCUGCGCGGUUGCAUAAUUUCACGGAUAGGAACAAGGAACUGGCAAACAACAGGAGGAAGAAAAAGAAACAACAUGAUGGACAUUGAGAAGUGCGUGGAAAUUGCAGGUAUAAGCGUGCAGCAAACUUUGAGAGGAAUUAUCGAUGAUAACAUGUUGUUAAUUCUUUAAAUCAGUGAUGAUCCCUGCUGUGCUAAUAAGAAUGCAGAUCGGUCCCAUAGUAUAAGUAGCAGCAAAGAAGAUAAAAAAAAAGAUGUAUCGAAGGAACGCGAAUGAGGUUGGCUGCACAGUUGCGGAUGGAACAAUGUUUGCCAAUCUAAUGGAACCUGCAUCGUGUUACGUAAUGAUCGACAGUAAGAGAACGCGCGCACCUAUGUAGCCUUUUUGAUUCGUGGCCUGUUGCGGAGCACCGGAUAAAGGAUAAAGUUAAUUUCCACGGAAUUUUUCGUCAGCAAUUUGCCAGCUCUUCGAACUUUUCAAGCCUCUUGAAAAGUUUCAAUCAUAACAUCUAGUCGAAGAUUUAUCAUUAAAAAUGAGCAGGAAGUGUUCAAAGCAUAUGUCAUUGCCUAAUUUCGUUUAAAUAUUUCCAACUAAAGUAUAAAGUGAAAUAUUACAACACAUUAAUAUGAUAAUAUUAAUUAUUUUAAUAUUUUAAUAUUAAUUAAUAUCAUACAUAUUGUCAUGAUACUGAUUACAAUCUGCAAAUGCAACGAUAUGAUCAAAAUACAUAUUCAGAAUUAUUAAUUGGUAAGUAUUAUUUAAGGAGUAAUUGUAAAAAAUUACACGGAAUUUGAGGAUAAACAUUAUUCAAGAUACGAAUUUAAGAAGUCGGGUUUAAAGGAUUUUUCUUUCACCAGGUGCAAUUGUAAAGCAUGGAAGAAAUUGUUACGUAAUCACUGCAGACAUGUAAAUUCAUAUUUUCGUGGAUGUAGUUGAGAAAUGAAACUUUGACUAUUACUUCAUCUAUUAAAUAUUCUAGACAAUACUAUGUUUUGGAUAUUUCGUAUAUUUUUGCAAUCUACAAAUUUGCUACAGCUGUACGAAAAUUUGCAAUCAAAUAAUUACUGUAGGAGUCCCAUAUACUACGCUUCUCAUGAAACGAGUAUUAAUAGCAAUCGAUUAAAAAUUCACCCGAGUAUUCGAUUCAUGACAGAUAAGUUCCCAAGCUACGACUCCAAGAAUGACACAUUUCCACAUAAAUUGCAGUCGUUUGACCCAAAUGAUAUAUACCCAUUAUAAAUCCAAGAUAAAUGUUUGAUUGAUGGUUUAAUAUUUUGUUUUUUGAUUAUGUCGUGUUCUGUUAGAACAAAGUCUUGUAAAUUUUAUUUCAUAGAUUCGAAACACUGAGUAAGUGAAAAUAUCAAGUGUUACAAUGGAACAUGUUAUCUGUGUUCAUAUAUUAUUGACUUUAAUCUUUUAUUUGUUAUCUAUUACAAAAAAUGUUCUACUUAUAAAUACAUUUCUAUCUAUUAUGUAUA